rnacentral:rRNA from 1 species
UAGGGAAUCUUCGGCAAUGGACGGAAGUCUGACCGAGCAACGCCGCGUGAGUGAAGAAGGUUUUCGGAUCGUAAAGCUCCGUUGUAAGAGAAGAACGAGUGUGAGAGUGGAAAGUUCACACUGUGACGGUAUCUUACCAGAAAGGGACGGCUAACUACGUGCCAGCAGCCGCGGUAAUACGUAGGUCCCGAGCGUUGUCCGGAUUUAUUGGGCGUAAAGCGAGCGCAGGCGGUUAGAUAAGUCUGAAGUUAAAGGCUGUGGCUUAACCAUAGUACGCUUUGGAAACUGUUUAACUUGAGUGCAAGAGGGGAGAGUGGAAUUCCAUGUGUAGCGGUGAAAUGCGUAGAUAUAUGGAGGAACACCGGUGGCGAAAGCGGCUCUCUGGCUUGUAACUGACGCUGAGGCUCGAAAGCGUGGGGAGCAAACAGGAUUAGAUACCCUGGUAGUCCACGCCGUAACGAUGAGUGCUAGGUGUUAGACCCUUUCCGGGGUUUAGUGCCGCAGCUAACGCAUUAAGCACUCCGCCUGGGGAGUACGACCGCAAAGNUG